UCCAAGCCAAGACAGGGCCUUUGUUGUCAGUCGCUCCUCGUCCAUAAAGUUUCCCUUUAAAAAGGGGAGAAGAAUGUUCAGAGAAGUGUGGACACCUCUGCCAUGCGAAUUACAUCUGAUACUAUUCAAAACGAAAGUGUGUGGCCUAGACAACUGUUUUCCUCACAACUCAAGAACCUCCAUCCAGGGACACAAAAGUUUACCAUUUUUUUCACAAAUGAAAGAAAACCAGCCUCAGUGAACCGAUCGGUAGACUUUGAGAGCCGCCUCUCUGUGCAUUCUUUUUUUUUUUUUUUGAUGAAGUCUCACUCCAUCACCCAAGCAGAAUGG
rnacentral:antisense_RNA from 1 species